rnacentral:miRNA from 14 species
AUAUAUAUAUAUAUAUGUGUGUGUGUGUGUGUGUGUGUGUGUAUAUAUAUAUACAUAUAUAUAUAUAUAUAUGUAUAUAUAUAUAUCC